UACGUAGGCAGCGAGCGUUGUUCGGAGUUACUGGGCGUAAAGGGUGUGUAGGCGGUUGUUUAAGUUUGGUGUGAAAUCUCCCGGCUCAACUGGGAGGGUGCGCCGAAUACUGAAUGACUUCGAGUGCGGGAGAGGAGAGUGGAAUUCCUGGUGUAGCGGUGAAAUGCGUAGAUAUCAGGAGGAACACCGGUGGUGUAGACGGCUCUCUGGAUCGUAACUGACGCUGAGACACGAAAGCGUGGGUAGCAAACAGG
rnacentral:rRNA from 1 species